rnacentral:tRNA from 1 species
GUUUCUAUAGUUUAAUGGAUAGAACAGUAGCCCCCGGAGCUGCAAGUAGCGGUUCGACUCCGCUUAGAAACA